AUUGAACGCUGGCGGCAUGCCUUACACAUGCAAGUCGAACGGUAACGCGGGGCAACCUGGCGACGAGUGGCGAACGGGUGAGUAAUGUAUCGGAACGUGCCCAGUUGUGGGGGAUAACUGCUCGAAAGAGCAGCUAAUACCGCAUACGACCUGAGGGUGAAAGCGGGGGAUCGCAAGACCUCGCGCAAUUGGAGCGGCCGAUAUCAGAUUAGGUAGUUGGUGAGGUAAAGGCUCACCAAGCCGACGAUCUGUAGCUGGUCUGAGAGGACGACCAGCCACACUGGGACUGAGACACGGCCCAGACUCCUACGGGAGGCAGCAGUGGGGAAUUUUGGACAAUGGACGCAAGUCUGAUCCAGCCAUGCCGCGUGCGGGAAGAAGGCCUUCGGGUUGUAAACCGCUUUUGUCUGGGAAGAAACGCUCUGGGUUAAUACCCCGGGGUAAUGACGGUACCUGAAGAAUAAGCACCGGCUAACUACGUGCCAGCCGCCGCCGUAAAAC
rnacentral:rRNA from 1 species